rnacentral:rRNA from 1 species
CUCAUGUUCUUAAGCUGAAAGAUGGCUUCUCGCUAUCACUUAUAGAUGRGCCCGCGGCGCAUUAGCUAGUUGGUGAGGUAACGGCUCACCAAGGCCACGAUGCGUAGCCGACCUGAGAGGGUGAUCGGCCACACUGGGACUGAGACACGGCCCAGACUCUACGGGAGGCAGCAGUAGGGAAUCUUCCGCAAUGGACGAAAGUCUGACGGAGCAACGCCGCGUGAGUGAUGAAGGUUUUCGGAUCGUAAAACUCUGUUGUUAGGGAAGAACAAGUACCGGAGUAACUGCCGGUACCUUGACGGUACCUAACCAGAAAGCCACGGCUAACUACGUGCCAGCAGCCGCGGUAAUACGUAGGUGGCAAGCGUUGUCCGGAAUUAUUGGGCGUAAAGCGCGCGCAGGCGGUUCCUUAAGUCUGAUGUGAAAGCCCCCGGCUCAACCGGGGAGGGUCAUUGGAAACUGGGGAACUUGAGUGCAGAAGAGAAGAGCGGAAUUCCACGUGUAGCGGUGAAAUGCGUAGAGAUGUGGAGGAACACCAGUGGCGAAGGCGGCUCUUUGGUCUGUAACUGACGCUGAGGCGCGAAA